rnacentral:rRNA from 1 species
AACGAACGCUGGCGGCAUGCCUAACACAUGCAAGUCGAACGAGACCUUCGGGUCUAGUGGCGCACGGGUGCGUAACGCGUGGGAACCUGCCUUUAGGUUCGGAAUAACUCAGAGAAAUUUGAGCUAAUACCGGAUGAUGUCUUCGGACCAAAGAUUUAUCGCCUUUAGAUGGGCCCGCGUUGGAUUAGCUAGUUGGUGGGGUAAAGGCCUACCAAGGCGACGAUCCAUAGCUGGUCUGAGAGGAUGAUCAGCCACACUGGGACUGAGACACGGCCCAGACUCCUACGGGAGGCAGCAGUGGGGAAUAUUGGACAAUGGGCGAAAGCCUGAUCCAGCAAUGCCGCGUGAGUGAUGAAGGCCUUAGGGUUGUAAAGCUCUUUUACCCGAGAUGAUAAUGGCAGUAUCGGGAGAAUAAGCUCCGGCUAACUCCGU